rnacentral:rRNA from 1 species
GACGAACGCUGGCGGCGUGCUUAACACAUGCAAGUCGAACGGUAAGGCCCCAGCUUGCUGGGGUACACGAGUGGCGAACGGGUGAGUAACACGUGGGUGACCUGCCCCGCACUUCGGGAUAAGCCUUGGAAACUGGGUCUAAUACCGGAUACGACCGCACCCGGAGGGGGUGGUGGGAAGUUUUUCGGUGUGGGAUGGGGCCGCGGCCUAUCAGCUUGUUGGUGGGGUAAUGGCCUACCAAGGCGGCGACGGGUAGCCGGCCUGAGAGGGUGGACGGCCACAUUGGGACUGAGACACGGCCCAGACUCCUACGGGAGGCAGCAGUGGGGAAUAUUGCACAAUGGGCGGAAGCCUGAUGCAGCGACGCCGCGUGGGGGAUGACGGCCUUCGGGUUGUAAACUCCUUUCACCAUCGACGAAGGUUUUCUGACGGUAGAUGGAGAAGAAGCACCGGCUAACUACGUG